GAAAUGCGAUAAGUAGUGUGAAUUGCAGAAUUCAGUGAAUCAUCGAAUCUUUGAACGCACAUUGCGCCCUUUGGUAUUCCAAAGGGCAUGCCUGUUCGAGCGUCAUUUGUACCCUCAAGCUUUGCUUGGUGUUGGGCGUCUUGUCUCCAGUUCGCUGGAGACUCGCCUUAAAGUAAUUGGCAGCCGGCCUACUGGUUUCGGAGCGCAGCACAAGUCGCGCUCUCUUCCUGCCAAGGUCAGCAUCCACAAAGCCUUUUUUCAACUUUUGACCUCGGAUCAGGUAGGGAUACCCGCUGAACUUAAGC
rnacentral:misc_RNA from 1 species